CACAAGCUGCGUGACAUCACCCUUAGGUUUUCUGUAGAGACCCAGAACAGCUGAUAUGAAGCUUGUGUCUGGGCAUCACCGUGUUGACAGCAGC